rnacentral:lncRNA from 1 species
UUUGGACGGAUGUCUUUUUCUCUUUUUAUCUUACUAGUUGUUUUCUGAAAUUAGGUUUCAUUUCCCUCUUUUCAUAGGGCAUUGUAGUUUGGCAUCUUAAUUUUACAUUCAACAGGGCAGUUUGGCAGUUUGGCAGUUUGGCAGUUUGGUAGUUUGGCAGUUUGGUAGUUUGGCAGCUUGGCAAUUUGGUAGUUUGACAUUUUGGCAUUUUGGCAUGACAAUCGAAGUCUAUAUAAAACUUAUAUCAAGCAAUGCAAAACAAUCAUCAAUAAAUCAAAUCAAAUAUAUACAUAAUGGGAGAGAAAUCAUGGGUGCUGAUGUUUUGUUUGCUGUUGUUGUUAGUCACUCACGUCAAUCUGCUACAGCACUCGUCCCGGUUGGAUUUGAGUAUGCGGUUUGCUUAACUACUUGCGUCGCCAACGGAAUUUCCUUUGGGGAUUGUAUUAAACCUUGCCUGCCAUCAAAAGCACUAGUGGAGACUCAUGAGGAAACCCACCUCACGAACAGUUCCGUAUUCUGCACUGUCAGGUGUGCUGUCCUGACAUGCCCGAGGCUAAGCAGCCAAGGCAGGAUGCCUGGUAAUUUUUCUUUUUUCCUUUUAUAUUAAUAUUUGAUGGUAAGUAAGUAGUAUUUGCUAAAGUAGUAUGAAAAAAAAAAACAAUAAUACUACAAUUAUUGGCGUGACCCAAGUAUCAGUUUGAUGUUCCUUGUUUGUUGUUUUUUUUGAUCCUUCAUGUUAUAUUUUUUAAUUGUUUUCCUUAUUUUUGGAAGAUUUUAUGUGCUAAAUGCACCCCAGAAUUUGUUGAUUACUUGUUGUUAUGAUACUUACUUACCAUCAAAUAUUAAUAUAAAAGGAAAAAAGAAAAAUUACCAGGCAUCCUCCCUUGGCUACUUAGCCUCGGGCAUGUCAGGACAGCACACCCGACAGUGCAGAAUACGGAACUGUUUGUGAAGUGGGUUUCCUCACGAGUCUCCACUAGUGCUUUUGACGGUAGAAAAUGUUGAAUACAAUACCCAAAGGAAACUCCGUCGGCGACGCAAGUAGUUAAGCAAACUGCAUACUCAAAUCC